UUGCUCUCGAUUUCAGAAGAGAAGCACCUCUUAAACCUGGUAAUUAACGAGAUCGGGUUACUUGCACGUAUAUAUCUUAAGUAGGGAUUAAGUAUAUCUAAUUAUCGUUGCUUACACGUUGCUGCGGUAGCUGUGAUAGCUAUCAUGUCCAUGGGUGUUUGAAUUGCCAUGCCGGAGUCAACAGCCGCUCUGACCCUCGCCCUGUGGGCCCCAAGAGAUUCCGCCACUUCAGCGCACACAUUGGUUACUAGUGCAGCAGCAGAAGAGAUCACGUUGCCCAUAUCCUCGCUUGAACACUCGCUUCUGCACAUGCUGCUGCUGCUGCUGCUGAUUCCAGCGAUGGCUGCAGCAAGCUGUGUGAGCGAAAGGGCUGCGUGUAAUUCUGCUGUGUGGAGUCGUCUCUCCUCUUUCUUCUUCUCCUUUUGUGACCUAAAUAAGCUAGUGAAGGAUUUUCCCCCGAACCAUGACUUUGUGGGUUUGAAGUCCAUCUUAACUAGAUCACACUGCAGUUUUUAGAUAAAAAUGUCAUUUUUUUUUCCUUCUCGAAACUUCAGAGUGUGAACGAAUAUGUGUGAUUUAUUAUUAUUACCUUUGUGUUUUCCUGAUUUAUGGUAGGAAUGUGAGUUGCGUCUGCAGUUGUUAUGUUUUCAUCGACUUGUUCAUCAGUGUAGCUAUGCAGGAAGAGGUUCUGUGGGAGUACAUAACAUCUGAUUGUGAGUUGAGCUUUUAAAUGGACUGAUUGACCAACUUAUAAGCUCAGCGAUUAAUGACUUGUUGAGCUGAAUUUUAUAAUUCUCAAGAUCCAAGAACUAUUACCGCCUGGCUUUCUUGAUUAUCUAAAAGCUGAUUGGAAUUAAAAUAUAUCGGGGCAUGGUGGCCUCACCGUUGUUGUUUUAUGAAACGUAAAUAUGCAAGAGUUAGUAAUCUACGAAAUGUUAUAUGAAAUGCUUGUUUGAGUAGCAUUUUUUUAAGUGAUUUUCUUUAUUGCGAUUGACAAACUGCACAAAGUGGAAGUUUCUCACGUUGGAUGAAAACGUUUGCAGGAAAUCAGCAGGGCUCCAAGAUCUACUGAGGAACUCCAUAGCUCUGUUAGGGCUCUUCGGGAUCUCCAUUUGCCUGUAAGAAGGAAUAUUCUUUUUUUUCUCACCAAGCACCUUCGGUUUCUGUUUAAAAAAAAAAGUUCUCCGGUUUUUUAAUAUUUCAAAGAACAAUAAGUUAGGUAUUAUAAACAUGCUGUGUCAAUUAUUUAAAAACUCACCGUAAAUGAAAGAUUCUCUACUUGUAUCUCUCCCUGCAACGACUCCAUCCAACUUGUCCUGGUUAAGAUCCUGAAAGUAGAAGGUAAUUGAAUCUCGUUUCUCGUUUUUCGUUUAUAUGAGAGGAAUUAGAAUUCUGAUUUGGAAAGAUAUGCAAUGGAACUAAAAUGGCCCAAAAGGAGACAUAAGACAAAAAACUUACCCCAACAAGAAGGUCUUCGGUAUACCUGAAUCUGAAAGUGGUACUAGUUCUACUAUGGAAUUACGAGAACUUACUAUAAAUAGAAGAAUAAUGAAUUAAUUAAUUACGUAGCAGUUUUUAUAUAAGAUUAACACCUUCCUAGUUCAGAAAUGUUGACAUCGAGAAAUGCAUUAACAAUUCACGUAAUAUGAUCGUAUUAUAUUAUUGGAAAAAUUUAAAACUUUUCAAAAGCCGGUCCCCGUUUCUCGACGAGGAUGCUGGGGCUGCUCCCAUGCUUAAACAAAUAGUAGAUUUAGAUUAAAUAAAUGGAUUAGAAAGCAAAUCUGUGUGCUUUCCACAAGGCUAUACAGAUUAUAUGUUUGGGUAUCUGCAAAUACUGUGCAGGACCACCAUUUGGAUUGAGAAUUGAUGGUUUCCUCCUUUAUUUAACUGGUUUGCAUAAUCCAAUCUUUUGCAGUUUACAUGAUAACUAAGCCAACUUGGAAUUUUUUUAAUUCCAUUGCAGCCUAGUUGGAGGGAUGUAUCAGCAGGCCGAAUGCCUUCACGUGGCUCGCAACUUGUUGUAAAGGUGUACCUUGUUUUCAUUGGACGAUUAAUAAUAAUGUUUGAAUCCGACGUGUUACCUCGUUUUCUGUUUCAAUUCUUGAUGACAUGCGAUUUGAAGCCAUGGCUAAUUUUUUUUUUCUUUUUUUUUUUUUUUUUGGGAGGUGGUAUUGUAGGUUUGCACGUAAAGGAAGCUGACGAAGUAUUCUUUCUUCUAUCGGUUAUGAUUGGUUGCUAGCGGGGACUAUCAA
rnacentral:lncRNA from 1 species